ensembl:lncRNA
CAGAGGUGCUCCCAAAGCAGAGAGGAAAGCCUUGAGGGAAAUGAUAGGGGCUGGUGUUGGGAGGGCAAGCAUGUGUGUUGGUCUGGGGGAUGAAAACAUGUGAGAAGAAAGAAUGUGUUACAGUGUGUGUGUGUGUGUGUGUGUGUGUGUGUGUGUGUGUGUGUGUGUCUGACUGGAGUGAGGAGUAGGAUAAAAUUUACAGAGGAAGCUAAAAGACAUUUUGCAUUGGGAGUAAAUAAUCUGUGUGUGCUUCUUAUAGUGCUCAAAUUGUAGUUUUUGGUGUUCAUCUGAAAUGACAAUCAGGAGGAACAGUUGAAGAUUUUUGAAAUCUAAAGUGAUAAAUAAUGAAGAAUUCACUCCAAAGAAAAAGAACCUCCAGCUCAACUAUAACUGAAGCCAACAUACUUCCACAUGCUGCUCAAAUCAAUCCCAGGCCAGUGUGUUUGUCUCAGAUGAGCAGUGUUUUCUCCAGUGUGCCACCACUUUUUGGAACAGCACAAGCUUUCCUGUUGAGACUAGCCCAACUUGAAGCUCAGCUAGUUUUGAACCUGAUUAGUAAUGUUGCAUCUGGAAAUAAUAGAGGUUAUGGGAACCCUUUUGUUCCUUUAAAUCCCUUACAGCCUGUUGGCAUUCAAAGAUCCUCAUUUUUGAGCAUGUACCAGUGCCCAGGGGGGGUUAAAAUCAUGGAUUCCACACCUCACAUGGUUAGUCAUCCUGCAACAACAGUCGCAGAAAUUAAUUCAGUCAUUGCCAAUAAAGAGAGUGGUGCACUUGUGGCAAAAGAGAUUAUUCAGGAAAAAACACUAGGUCCCAUCAUGAAUAAUACAACAUCUGAGGAAGCUCUUUUUACAUCCAGUCCCAACCCUCUAGGCAAACAUUUCGCCUUAAAACCACAUGUGGACUGUUCCCAAUACCAGUCGGUGACAGCCAAAGCAAUGAUACCCCCUGAUAGACCACAGAUUGAAGAAGCAGAGCCAAAGCAACAAACAAUGCUGCAGUAUCCAGCAGAAAGUCUGAUCAAAGCUUUAACCAGCCUUGGCCUUUCUCUUGAGGAUCUAGAAUUACUCAGUCACUGCCCAGACAACCAGUUAACAACAGAGAAUCUCCCCUUCAUUAUACAAGACAUUCAACAGCGCAAAGGAACAAAUGACAUAAAAUAUGGCCAUGCUAGACGGAUCUCAUCUGAUCCAGUGGAAUCAUCCAGAGAGUCAUCAUAUACUCACAGGGAACAGAGGAAUCCGAGGAUUAUAAAUGUUGAAUGGCAAGAAUCCCAUUCCCAGAGAUCUCUCAGCCCUGAAAGAUGUCGGCCAUCUAAAGUCAUUUAUAAACACUUCUCGACCCAAUCUAGAACACUCAGAACAAGCCAUUCAUCAGGAAGAGGAUCAAAUUCCUUCCUAAAGAGGCUGCAACAUGGGCCUGCUGAGGACACCGGCUGGAGGCCUGGUUCAGUCUAUUUCCCCCCUCGAUCAAAACGCAGCAGAAGAUCCAACACUUACAACACCAUAACAAAAGGUCAUCAGCAGUCUUCAUUUCCAGUCAAAUCUGCAAAAUCAGAAGUAACCACUGAAUCCAUCAACAUUCAGAUGCCAGUAACUAAGACAACUGCAAAAACAUCAGCACAAACUAAGGGUGUGAUUCGUGUGUCUGGAAUCCCUCUUCAUUACUCUCAGAGUGAACUCAUCAAAAUGGCAUCGCCGUUUGGUCAAUCUGUUGAGGUUUUAAUGGCAACUGAGGUUUACACAACAACCUGUCUAGAAUGGAAGAAGGCUUUACUGAUGUUUCCAACUGAAUUCUCGGCCGAGGAGAUGGUGAAGGUUUACUCUGCUAUCCCAGUUCACAUGAGACAGCAAAGUUUGGAACUGGUGUCCCAAACUGUUGACUUUAGUUCACCUGUGUCAGUGUUUCAUGCUUUUGUGGGGUCAUCAUUGUCAAAUGGGCUGCUAACGGCUUUGGACCAUUUGCUGGUUGUAUGUAAUGUUCCCAAUCAGCCCAGUGCUGCUACAGGAGUGCUACGGCUGCUAAAGCCUUUUGGACAAGUUUUCAGAGCUCUUGUACUUCAUGGAAACAAGGUGGAUGUUGAUCAGUGCCUUGGGAACAAUAGCAGCAUGCAGAUGGUUUUAGAGAUGGAAUCCGCUUCUGUUGCUUUAUCUGUAUAUGAGUGGUCUCAAAAAAUUCCUUGUGUUUAUCACAACCAUCAUCUGUCUUUCCUCAGAGGAUGCAAUGUACAGAAAAACACAUCUGAGGUCCAUUCAGCCUAAUAUCCUCACAGUUUUAUCCCCUUAAAUAUUGUAUAUUUUCAUUAUCUUUGUAAUAAAAUACAAUGAAACGAGGUCA